UGGGGAAUAUUGCACAAUGGGCGAAAGCCUGAUGCAGCAACGCCGCGUGCGGGAUGACGGCCUUCGGGUUGUAAACCGCUUUCAGCAGGGACGAAGGUUUUCUGACGGUACCUGCAGAAGAAGCACCGGCUAACUACGUGCCAGCAGCCGCGGUGAUACGUAGGGUGCGAGCGUUGUCCGGAAUUAUUGGGCGUAAAGAGCUUGUAGGCGGUCCGUUGCGUCGGAAGUGAAAACUCAGGGCUUAACCCUGAGCCUGCUUUCGAUACGGGCGGACUUGAGGGAUGUAGGGAGAACGGAAUUCCUGGUGGAGCGGUGGAAUGCGCAGAUAUCAGGAGGAACACCAGUGGCGAAGGCGGUUCUCUGGACAUUUCCUGACGCUGAGAAGCGAAAGCGUGGGGAGCAAAACAGGCUUAGAUACCCUGGUAGUCCACGCCGUAAACGGUGGCACUAGGUGUGGGACCCAUUCCACGGGUUCCGUGCCGUAGCUAACGCAUUAAGUGCCCGCCUGGGGUAGUACGGCCGCAAGGCUAAAACUCAAAGGAAUUGACGGGGUCAU
rnacentral:rRNA from 1 species